AUUGAACGCUGGCGGCAGGCCUAACACAUGCAAGUCGAACGAGUGGCGGACGGGUGAGUAAUACCUGUGAACAUGCCUGCUGGAGGGGGAUAACUACUGGACACGGUAGCUAAUAACGCAUACCCUACGAUGUGCCCGGAUGGGCUUAGCUAGUUGGUGGGGUAACGGCUCACCAAGGCGACGAUCCCUAGAUGGUCUGUGAGGAUGAAAAGGCACACGGGAACGGAGACACGGUCCAGACUACUACGGGAGGCAGCAGUGGGGAAUAUUGCACAAGGGGAGCAAGCGUGAUGCAGCCAAGCCGCGUGUAGGAAGAAGGCCUGCGGGUUGUAAAGUACUUUUAGCGGUGAGGCGUUACUAGCAGAAGAAGCACCGGCUAACUCCGUGCCAGCAGCCGCGGUAAUAC
rnacentral:rRNA from 1 species